rnacentral:lncRNA from 1 species
GUUCCAUUCUCCUUGACAAUGAUCAGUUUAAAACAGGAUUUCCUAACCUCAGAACUUUUGGCGUGUGGAGCUGGAUAGUUCUUUGCUGCGGGGUGCUGUCCUGUGCAUUGUAGGAUGUCUAACAGCGCCCCUGGCCUCUGCCCACUAGAUGCCAGUAGCAGUAACAUCCCUCUUGCACCCCAGAUGUGACAACCCAAAAUGUCUCUAGAAAUUGCCAAAUGUGCCCUAGAGAGCAAAAAUUCACUUGACUGGGAACCACCAGCUUAUGAAUCAGCAGAGUAAGAGACCCGUGAAAGUCGUAUUGUGAUCCUGCCUGGUUUUUAGCCUAUUUGUUCAAAGUACAUGGAUCAAAUCCGGUUGCUUCCAUGUGGAGUAAGUGGAUUGAAAGUAGCAACUUGAAUUUCAACGUGUAAGAUAUUCGGGUAACUUUCCAUCCAUAGUGAUCAGCUUUCAGUUUUGAAAUGUAACUAAAUAAAGGAAGAUGAGA